AGUGAACGCUGGCGGUAGGCCUAACACAUGCAAGUCGAACGGCAGCACAGUAAGAGCUUGCUCUUACGGGUGGCGAGUGGCGGACGGGUGAGGAAUACAUCGGAAUCUACUUUUUCGUGGGGGAUAACGUAGGGAAACUUACGCUAAUACCGCAUACGACCUACGGGUGAAAGCAGGGGAUCUUCGGACCUUGCGCGAUUGAAUGAGCCGAUGUCGGAUUAGCUAGUUGGCGGGGUAAAGGCCCACCAAGGCGACGAUCCGUAGCUGGUCUGAGAGGAUGAUCAGCCACACUGGAACUGAGACACGGUCCAGACUCCUACGGGAGGCAGCAGUGGGGAAUAUUGGACAAUGGGCGCAGGCCUGAUCCAGCCAUACCGCGUGGGUGAAGAAGGCCUUCGGGUUGUAAAGCCCUUUUGUUGGGAAAGAAAAGCAGCAGGUUAAUACCCCGCUGUUCCGACGGUACCCAAAGAAUAAGCACCGGCUAACUUCGUG
rnacentral:rRNA from 1 species